CCGAAACAUAUCCAUGGGAUUAAUUAGAAAUGCACAUUCUACUGAGCUCUCUAUGAGGAAAAGACUGAAGCAUUUAAAAGUUAAUAAAUAUUUUUCGACGGUGAUAAUGAGUGGCUCCCUCGGUUUACGUAAACCCGAUAAAAGAGUUUUUAACCAGGCCAUACUUACAGCCCAUCUUGAGCACGCAAAUCCCAGAGAGAUCCUUUGGAUUGGAAACGAACCGGUAAAAGACAUUCAAGGGGGCCUGCAGAUGGGGUGGUUGACUGUAAGGCAUAUCUUCUAAGUGUUUAUGCGAAGUGUGCAAGUAUAUUUGAAUCUUUCUUAUCAGAUUCUUUUCUUCUUUAUAAGAUGCCGUGAAUUUUUAAGUGCAUUGGUCAUCAGGAUUUUUAAAUUAACGUAUUUUUUCAUUAGGUUCUUGUUUCCCAAAACAAUGAGCAGAAUUCUGACCCGGAACCUCAUAUUAAAGUCGCCUCACUAUAUGAGUUGCUUGACAUACUAAAGUUGAGUUUUAGAAA